rnacentral:rRNA from 1 species
AACAAAGAUGAAGCAAACGCCAGCCUUGCGGUCUGAACGCCCACAACUCCCCAUUGCAAAAGACUGAUUUUCCACCCGCAUAACUGGUGUCAAACGUUUCCCUUUCAACAAUUUCACGCACUGUUUAACUCUCUUUUCAAAGUUCUUUUCAUCUUUCCC